GAUGAACGCUGGCGGCGUGCCUAAUACAUGCAAGUCGAGCGAACAGACGAGGAGCUUGCUCCUCUGACGUUAGCGGCGGACGGGUGAGUAACACGUGGAUAACCUACCUAUAAGACUGGGAUAAUUUCGGGAAACCGGAGCUAAUACCGGAGAAUAUAUUGAACCGCAGGGUUCAAUAGUGAAAGACGGUUUUGCUGUCACUUAUAGAUGGAUCCGCGCCGCAUUAGCUAGUUGGUAAGGUAACGGCUUACCAAGGCAACGAUGCGUAGCCGACCUGAGAGGGUGAUCGGCCACACUGGAACUGAGACACGGUCCAGACUCCUACGGGAGGCAGCAGUAGGGAAUCUUCCGCAAUGGGCGAAAGCCUGACGGAGCAACGCCGCGUGAGUGAUGAAGGUCUUCGGAUCGUAAAGCUCUGUUAUUAGGGAAGAACAGAUGUGUACGUAACUAUGCACGUCUUGACGGUACCUAAUCAGAAAGCCACGGCUAACUACGUG
rnacentral:rRNA from 1 species